GUGUCACAUCAUAGGUAACAAUAUGCUCUGAUUGUGUGCUGUUUGUUUGUUUAGAAUUUAUAGCUGUUGUUUGGUUAGAAUUUAUAGUUGUUGUUUCUUCAGGUUGUGAAUUGUUUUGUUUCAUAUUUGAAAACCGAUAGGGCAAUAUAAUGGAACAUUUUGAAAUUGGGUGUUGUUUCAAAAGUUACAAUGAGCUAAUAGAAAAACUGAAAGAAUACUGCGAAAUUACCUGCACGAAAUUCACGACAAAAGAUUCUAGAUUGAUUACUAAUGAAUUUGCCAGCGCCAAAGAAAGUUUUGUUUAUUCCGAACUGAAGUUGAUUUGUGUACAUGGUCGGACCCCCAAAAUAAAAGGCGGUGAAAAAAAACGUAAAAUUAGAACCUUGAAAAUCAAGAAGACAGAGUGCCCAGCUUACUUCAGAAUCAAAUUGAUAAACUCUGGAGUAGCUUUGCAAAUAGUGGCCAUGAAUGACAAACACAAUCAUCCCUUGGAAAAAAUUGAGGUUGAGGAACCACCCAAAACAAAAAAGAAGAAAGGAAGUUAUGACAAAAAUAUCAGCAGUUUCAAGUUAGAGAUAAAGAAUGAAGACAGUGUCAGUUCAGAGGAUAUGCAGCCUUCCGAAUUCAUUGAAGUUUACAUAGAUAGAGAUGAUCCUGAUCAAAAAGUCGAAUUUUCAUUCAGAGGUCUUUGUGCGCCUGUAUUUAACGUAUUUACUGAAGAUAACUCUCUCAAUGUAAGCAUCAUUCCUGAAUAUGCAAAAUAUCUAGCAGAUGGAGGAAUCACUGCUGUUUUAGUUAAUGACAUCAUGGGUGAAUGCACGUCUAUGUCAGUGUCGGAAAGAAAAUCUGUUACUGAGGAAUGGAUGAAAGCCGUCAAAAUCACUAAUCAGCAUAUUAUGGUCCAAGUAGGUGGAUGUGCCUUACCUGAUGUCGUAGAUUUAGCAAAACAUGCUGAAAAGGUUGGUGUAGAUUCUAUACUGUGUCUUCCAGAAGUAUGUUUUGAAGGGUCUACACCUAAAGAACUUGUGGAAUAUUUGAAGAUAGUAAGUCAAGCUGCUCCUAACACUCCGCUGUUAUACCAUCAUAUACCAAAGAGAACUAAUGUUGAUACAAAUAUCAUGCUUAUUUUGGAGGAGUGUACUGGAAAAAUACCCACAUUUUGUGGCAUCAACUACACUUCCAACGAUUUAGAAGAAGGUGUGGCAGCUUUAGAAAUAGAUAGUAAAAAAAAUGUAGUAUUUUUUGGAGCUGAUAAGAAUAUGGCAAAUGCAUACUAGAAGCAGUUGACAAGUCUAAGUUGGAAGAAGCAAGGAAACUUCAAAGAGAACUUUCAAUUAAAUAUGAUGUAAUAUCCAAAUUUGGAGCUCUUGUACCUGCAAUGAAAGCUGCAAUGAAUAUAGCAACAUCUAUAAAUGUUGGACUGGUGAGGCCCCCAUUGAAAAAUCUCUCAGAUGAACAAAUAGAAAACAUGAAGAAUUUGUUAGGACUCGAAUAAUCUAUAAGGGACGAAAUUGUGCAAAUAGAACAUUUAUGUUUUUCUUUAUGGUGUUACAGCUGAAAGAAGACGGCAAAAAAUUGAAUUAAUAAUACUUGAAACAAUUACAUAUAAAAAUUAUCAUCUAAAAUAAAAUCGUUUUUUGAAUUGUAUACAAGUAAAACUGAAAUAAACAUUUUGCAAACUUUUAACUAAGGGUA
rnacentral:misc_RNA from 1 species